rnacentral:lncRNA from 1 species
AAUAACUUAAUCUCAUUUAUAUAAUUCAUUCAAUUCAAUACUAACAACAUUUAUACAUAAAAAAUCUGAUUAAAAUACAUGAAACUCCAAAAGAAAAAAAAAAGAAUAAUCUAAUGUAGUUCAAUCAUUGAAAAAACUAAAACCUAACCAUUAGUAGAGUGGCAAAAUAUACAACACGUUAAGUCAAAAUAAGGAUUUAACAAAAUAUCUCAAUAUUCCUAGCAUGUGAUGUUGUUUCGUGAUCCUUAAUUAGUGCUAACUAGACUCCGAACAUUUGUCAUCUCUUAGACUUUUCUAACUCAGUUAUCUGAAAAAACAUAAGUAUAUAUUAGGAUACUUAAAUAAACGGAAUUAUAUAGAUUAACUUAGUCCAUGGCAUAAUUCCACAAGAUAAUGGUUCCUUCAAAAUCUAUUUUCUAAAUACAUCAAAUAAAUGAAAUUAU